AAAGGAAAAAAAAAAAAAGAAGAAGGGGGCACAGGAGGAAGGGAGAGUCGAGAAGAAGAGGGGGAAGGGAAGGGGACGGUGCCGGCGGGGCUGGGAGCCACCGUCGCCGUCGAAUCAGAGAGAGAGAGAGAGAGAGAGAGAGAGAGAGAGGGGGGGGGGGCUGCCUCGCAUCUUGUUGUCGCCGCUGCCGUUGCCCUCAUCCCGAAUCACCGUUGUCACCGUCGCGGGGAAAGAUCGGAGUUGAAGGAGAGAACCACGAGAGGAGGGGGAGUUGCUGCUACCGGAGACGCGAGCUGGAGGAGCUGUGUCCAACCACCGCCGUUGCACUAGUCACCGCCGCUGACGUAGAUGGAGGUCGUUGCCGUCACCGUGCACGUCGGAGGAGGAGGACCAGAACGUGAUGAGGGGGAGGAAGCCGUGCUGGGUUCGCAGUCACUGCUGUGCGUUCUGUCGUCUGCUGCCGGCACCGCCGCCACAGCCGCUGUUGUCGGUAACCGCCGGUGGAAUCCCUGUCUCCUCGGGUUGAGUUCCAAGGAAUUGCAUGUCAAAUUAAGGUUGUUGUUGAACCACCGGAGAUUCUAGCCGCUGUCGAAGCUGCCGCCGGGUCAGCUUGAGAUUGCGACUGCUCUGUUCUGCUAUUACCGAUUGAGUUAUCGAGAUUGCCUUUUAUAUUAAAGUCGUUUCUGCCAUUGCGGAAGUGAGCAGACGUGUGGUUGGAGCUGCAGUUGAUUUCGGGCUGACAGAAAGGGUUUUUAUGACACGUUUAGCUUAUGGAUUCGACUUUUCGACGUAGGGGUGUUUUUUUAAAAAGCUUAUUUUAUAUUUUGGAGUUGUUAUAAAUGGAUAUAGAUGUGAUAAAUAUAAUUUCUGGUGAUUAUGUAGGUCUUAUGUAUUGUCUGGAUGUUUUGAAUGAAUAUGACUAUUGUUUGAUUGGAUUAUUAUUUGGUUUUGUUAAAUUAAUUCUUUAAAGUUUUGGAAAUGAGUUUGGUUCGUUAAAAAUGAUUUGAUUUUGUAUCAAUUUUCAUUCCUUGGCGCUAGAUCUUGUUAGUAAGCCUAGUAAUAGGAUAAAGUUAGGAAAUUGUAGUAACUUGGAGAUGAAGAAAGAUUUUUAAAAGGUAAUAUGUAGUUAGAGAAGAUAGUGUCUGAUUGAUAAAGAUGAUGAAAGUGGUAUAUGAGGCAAUUAAGAGAGUAAAGUAAUAUUGAGAAUGAUGUGUGAGACAAUUGAUGAUGUUAAUUAAUUGAGAAUGAUGAGAUGAGCUAUGAACUAUUGUUGAGAAUGAAAAUGAUAUUUAUGAGAUAUGAUUGAAUUAUUAUUGAGACAUUCAUUGACCCCCUGUACGUAAGAUGUGACUGGGCAGGGGCGGAGCUAGAAAUUAUUUUAGAAGGGGCUAACAUGAAAAAUAUAAGUUAAGAAGAAAGAAAAAUUAAAAAUUAAAAAGGGAUUAAACUAAAAAAUUAAAAACUUAUACAUACAUUUUAUUAGUUUGGGGGGGGGGGGGCAUUGCCCCCCUUGCUCAUAACGUGGCUCCGCCACUGUGACUGGGCACUUUAACUUCUCAGGUUCCCCCAUGGGCAUGCAUAUAUGGAUAUGAUUGAGUUUGGAGUGUUGUCUCCCUCAUGUCAGUUUGAGAUUCUUCACAUGGAGUAUUAUUGAGUUUGGGGUAUUGUCUCCCCCAUGUCAGCUUGGGAUUCUUCCCAUGGAUAUGAUUAAGUUUGGGGUAUUGUCUCUCCAAUGUCAGCUUGGGUUCCGUCCCAUGGUUUAUUUUUUAGCUUGGGGAUGAGCGUAUAAAGGGACUGUCCAAUGGUUAGCUAACAAGACAUGUCAAAUUGGCUGUAUAACCGACAGAUGAGCUCAUUAGUCAUAGGACAGGCAUACAUCAUGUGCAUAUUGUUUGAAUUGCUUGCUUGUAUAUUAAUUGGGAUUGCCUAAAUGAUUUAAUACGUUAAUUGUUGUACUUGUUAUCUGCAUUACUUAUAUUCUAUCUGUGUUUGCCAUUGUAUGCUUGUUUGUAUAUGUAAAUCCACCGGAGUUGGAGGAAUGGAAAAAAGCCAGAGAAGUUAAGGAUUUAAUUAUGCUUAAGAUUUGGUAAAGUUAGGAAUCCCUAGAAAACCACCUUGACUUAUAGUUUCCACUUACUUCUUUAAGUUUUAUAAUUUGAGCGUCGGUGUUUUAGCAUUGCCUCUGGCAUAACCAGAACCUUAUAUCUUAUGUGUGUGGUAUCUUUACCAUGUUGAGAACCUCCGGUUCUCAUUCCAAAUAAUAUUGUUAUU